rnacentral:misc_RNA from 1 species
GAUGAAGAACGUAGCGAAAUGCGAUACGUAAUGUGAAUUGCAAAUUCAGUGAAUCAUCGAGUCUUUGAGCGCACAUUGCGCCCCCUGGUAUUCCGGGGGGCAUGCCUGUCCGAGCGUCAUUGCUGCCCUCAAGCACGGCUUGUGUGUUGGGCCCCGUCCUCCGAUCCCGGGGGACGGGCCCGAAAGGCAGCGGCGGCACCGCGUCCGGUCCUCGAGCGUAUGGGGCUUUGUCACCCGCUCUGUAGGCCCGGCCGGCGCUUGCCGAUCAACCCAAAUUUUUUAUCCAGGUUGACCUCGGAUCAGGUAGGGAUACCCGCUGAACUUAAGCAUAUCAAUAAGCGGAGGA